ACUGUUCUGCAAUCACAGUGCAUUUUCUAAUGCUAACUGGCCCAAAGAGGUGCAUCAUUCUCGUGGCAGAGGGCCACCUAAGCGAGUCGUGUGCUGAAGUACCUCCCCGGUGAAGAAGGGAUUUCUUGGUUUAGGAGAAUAGCUGGCUACAUGGAGCCAUGCAAAAGUCUUAUACAAUUAUGAAAAUGUCUCUUUCCUCCCUCUU